rnacentral:lncRNA from 1 species
UAGAAGUUGAAACAACUGGAAUAGGAGUCACAAGACCACUAUCUGCCAAGUCCUAAAAGCAGACUAGCAACAAGACAGUUUCACAGAGGUGGGGUAGAACUGGGCAUUUUAAAAUAGCCAUGUAAACACUCUCCCUCUGCCUUUGUAAUUUUAACCUAGAAUGUCGGUGACGACAGUCUCUUGCAUGGAGACCACGAAUGCCGGAAUAAAUCUGACAUUAUGACACCAGACACCUGGCAGGUCUGAUGUCGCAGGGGUAAAUACUUAGAGUCACUAUAAAGCCCCGGGGCCCCCUCAGGACUACAGUUGUUUACCCCUGAGCUCCGGACAGGAUCGUAGGGCCGGACAGAGGAAACAUUUAAGAUCCAAUACGCAGGACUUUUACGUCACGCCGUUGGAAGCGAGCCUUCGCGGUCUUUGCACAGUUACAUCCCAUUUGAGUACAGGAGCUGUCAAAGGCAAGGCGGUACCGAAACAAGCGAGAUCUUGAUUUAAGCAACAAACCUGUAUUUGAACAGGUUACUCGUAUUCUACUCAUAUUCUGGAGCACCUGUUUCAAUUCAUCAAAAACUCAUAAGAGGGAGAUACUGGAGGAACAAGUAAUAAGAUUUAACCGAGGUGUUGGUGGACUUGCCAAUGUGGCCACUCCAGUGACCUUUCAGGAAUUGCAGCGUAAGAUUCUGAGCACAGGCACACAUACACAGAAGAAUGGCUGCAUUGGAAUUACACUGUGGGCCGGAGCCUGGGAGUUGUGUGUGGGGUGGAGACAGAGCUGACCUGCUUGACAGUUUUGACUCCGAGAUGCAGGAAUGGGAAGAUCAGCUACAGGACAUGCAGAGGAAGAUUGAAGAGUUGUAUAAUGAGGUCAAAGCACGAAGAGAAGCCAGCGAGAGCAGCACAAACAACAUCACAAACAAUAAAAACCUGGACAUUACUUUGCUUCCUGUCAACUCUCAGUAUAGCCACCAGGCCAAUUGUUAUCACGAACCUCACCCCAACAACAGCCUCCCAAUUUGUCAAUGCAGUGAAAUAAAAGCAGAUCCUUCAGUUAUGCAAAGCCUUGGGUUUCACCACCCCAGUGAAUACUGUAAUGGCUCCAACAAUUACAUGCUUAAUUCCCUGAGCAACGGCAGCCAUUACCCUGCCAGUUGUCAUGCUUUUGAAAGGCAAGAUGCCACCGUAGACAUACUCAAUGGAUACCUCCAACAGGGUCCACAUUUUAGAAGGAACCCAGGGAAUCUUGGAGCUCCAAAUAGAAACCCCAAGGUAUAUCCAGUUACACACAGUUAUCAAGACAGCAUGAAGACCAGCCUGGCGACAAACAGGACUGCCUCGUGUGUGGUUCUGGGUGAGAUUGAGGAGGCUGAGAACAAAAAGAACAAGAAAUCAAGUUGGGAUGACUCCCAAGCCCGCCACGUUAGCUGGAAAGACCCGGUUUCAUCAAAUGACCUUCCCCCUAAAAAUUCAGCUUCCAAACUGGCAAUCAGACAGAGAGAUUCUUCUCCUGUAACCCCUCGUUUCACUUACCAUGAGUCAUCACAGCAACCUGACAGGAAGUGCCUCUUGCUUGACAGGAAAUCUGGCAGCCCAUCAGUGUUGCGUAAGUUUGGUGCCAUGUUGCAGGAGAACGAGGGAAAAACCCUGAUAGAGGAUGGUCUCAUGACCACCGUUGUCACCACUGAACCUCCGAGGCAAACCAGCACUCCCAUUUGCCAGAGCAAGUUUGAUGCCAGGCAGGCAUCCUCACGCACGCACGUCCAGAAAUGCCUUGCAGACUGUGAUGUACUGGUAGCAGAUCUGGAGCACAGCCAGGAGUCUUGGGCAGCUGGUCCUUCUAGACACCUCCUCAAUGGAGACAGAGACAGUGGGAGGGGUGGUUGUGUUCUUGAACAGCAUGGCUUGGCCUGUAACUUAAGCCAGUCACAGCCUCACCUUAAUUCGGGGUAUCACAAGGUGGCUUCAAUGUCUAAAGCCCACAAAGCGGGCUUCCAGAGUAAGGACCUUUUCUCUGACUGCCCGAUGGUAGAAAGGAUUCUGGGAGUAGGAUCUCAAAACUUCAAUAAGGUACACAGAGGACUUGGUGUCAAAAUGAUGAGACGGGGAAAUGACAACUUGGAGCAACUUCUGGAAGUGAUGGAAAUGGAGAACAACAGAAGUCAGAGGGCCACAUUCACCCAGCAACUGGACAACAAGCAGGUCAACCGGGAGUCAUCUCCUGCGCCUAGCAGUAGCCAUUUUUCUCGUCCUGCUCGACCAGCCAAUCAACGUCGUCCAUCCAGAUGGGUUAAGCAUACUCACCCAAGCAAAAUUGCCCACACAUCCGGCCCAACAAGCCCUGGCCUGAACGCCAAACAAUUAUUGAAUUCAUAUUCCCGGCACACAGAAACUGUCAUCAUGUGACCAGGAUGCAACAAGCUUUAAAGGACACUUUCACCCAAUGGCAUAAACUAAACUUUGACCUUUUGUAGAACACAAUCUACUUUUUUGUAUAUAUAACCAACACCACCACAUGAACGUAACUUAUUGCAGCCUACUAAAAUGGCCUGUGGUAUUUUCCUUAAAUAACUUCAAAAGGUUACUGCUUUCAUUUAACGCUGCGCUGUUUGAAGUGCUUUGGAAAGAAACUCCAGUGGACCUUCUCUAACCUGGUGAACUUCUGUGCCUAUGAACCCUUCAUUGCCUUUUCUCUUCAUUUCUUUCUGUCAUUCUCAUUAAAUUUUCUAUUCUUUUAUUCUGUUUUCUAUUUCCCAGAGUGCUUUGUGUACAGUGCAGUUCUUGCGGUGCCAUUUAGGACAUUUUUGUAACCAUAUAUGCAUGUUUGCAACAGGCAUAACAUGUAUUUAAACAUACAUGGCAACGAGUUAUUGAGCCUUAUCUAUUAUGCAUAAACUGUAAAGGCGUGUGCAAACGUUUUGAUGUUCUGUCAUAAAGUCCAUUUCAGUAUUGCAUUAGUGCUUCAUAAUAUUGACAUGAUAACGGGCUCAUAAUGUUUUUUUUCCUUAUAAAGCCUUAUUUGACUGCACCUGACGUGGGCUGUAACUACUCGGUGUAUGGUAACAUGUCUGCAUUCUCCAGCCUUGUAAAAAAAAAAAAAAGCCAAAUGAAGUGAAUUAUUCUUUAAGUUCAACAUCUGUGAAAAGUACAUUAUAUCUUUUGACAAUAAUAUGAAGAAAUGCUUUUGGAAUGUUUAUUUAUUAUUGUGAUAUGUGACCCUUACAAAAACGUGAUGCUUUUUUUUUUCUCUAGAUAAUAAAUGCAAGUGCUUUGACAAGUUAGUGGAACUCUUGAACUCUAGACUCCAUAUGCUUUAUUUUUAUUUUGUGGUGAUUGCUAAUGUU